rnacentral:rRNA from 1 species
AUACGGAGGAUGCAAGCGUUAUCCGGAUUUAUUGGGUUCAAAGGGUGCGUAGGCUGUUCGGAAAGUCAGGGGUUAAAGCCCGGCGCCUAACUCCGCAACUGCCUUUGAUACUUCUGUGCUGUAGUACGGAGGCCGUGGGAGGAAUGAGUGGUGCCCUGGUGAAAUGCAUAGAUAUUACUCAGAACACCGAUUGCGAAGGCAUCUCACGAAUCCGUCAUUGACGCUGAGGCACGAAAGCGUGGGGAUCAAACAGGAUUAGAUACCCUGGUAGUCCACGCAGUAAACGAUGAUGACUAACCGUCGGCGAUACACAGUCGGUGGCCAAGCGAAAGCGAUAAGUCAUCCACCUGGGGAGUACGUUCGCAAGAAUGAAACUCAAAUGAAUUGGCGGGG